rnacentral:rRNA from 1 species
UACGAAGGGUGCAAACGUUGCUCGGAAUUAUUGGGCGUAAAGAGCUCGUAGGUGGUUUGUCGCGUUGUUCGUGAAAACUCACAGCUCAACUGUGGGCGUGCGGGCGAUACGGGCAGACUUGAGUACUGCAGGGGAGACUGGAAUUCCUGGUGUAGCGGUGGAAUGCGCAGAUAUCAGGAGGAACACCGGUGGCGAAGGCGGAUCUCUGGGCCAUUACUGACGCUGAGGAGCGAAAGCGUGGGGAGCGAACAGG